rnacentral:rRNA from 1 species
UUAAACUGCGAAAUGCUCAUUAGCCCAAUUAUUGAUAAAGUGGUUGCAAUCUUUUACAUGGAUAACUUUGGUAAUUCUAUAGCUAAUACAUGUUUCAAAGCCCAACUUCUAAGACGGGCUAUUGUUAUUAGCUGAAAACCUAAGCAGGCUUGCCCUGAACCAUGUUAAAUCAUGAUAAUGGAAUGAACCGUACUGCAGUCGCAUUCGGUUUACCAUUAAUGUUCUUGACCUAUCAGCUUCUGACGGUAGGAUAUUUGCCUACAGUGGCAAUGACGGGUGACGGAGGAUUAGGGUUCGAUUCCGGAGAGGGAGCACGAGAAACGGCUACCACAUCUAAGGAAGGCAGCAGGCGCGCAAAUUACCCAAUCUUGACACAGGGAGGUAGUGACAAUAAAUAACAAUACAGGGCAUAAUUGUCUUGUAAUUGGAAUGAAUCAACUUCAACAUGCAUGA